rnacentral:rRNA from 1 species
AUGGCUCAGAGUGAACGCUGGCGGCAGGCCUAAUACAUGCAAGUCGAACGGCAGCACGGCAGAGCUUGCUCUGUGGGUGGCGAGUGGCGGACGGGUGAGGAAUACAUGGGAAUCUGCCCAGUCGUGGGGGAUAACGUAGGGAAACUUACGCUAAUACCGCAUGCGCCCUUCGGGGGAAAGCCGGGGACCUUCGGGCCUGGCGCGAUUGGAUGAGCCCAUGUCGGAUUAGCUAGUUGGCGGGGUAAUGGCCCACCAAGGCGACGAUCCGUAGCUGGUCUGAGAGGAUGACCAGCCACACUGGAACUGAGACACGGUCCAGACUCCUACGGGAGGCAGCAGUAGGGAAUAUUGGACAAUGGGCGCAAGCCUGAUCCAGCCAUGCCGCGUGAGUGAAGAAGGCCCUCGGGUUGUAAAGCUCUUUUGUCCGGAAAGAAAAGCGCCGGGUUAAUACCCUGGUGUCCUGACGGUACCGGAAGAAUAAGCACCGGCUAACUUCGUG